AGCUCACUGUAAUCUCGAACUCUAUACCAAAUUGGAACACAGAGAUGAUUAGCAUUGUCCCUGUGCAAGGAUGACAUGCAAAUUCACGAAGCAUUAAUAAAUAAU